UACAGAGGGUGCGAGCGUUAAUCGGAAUUACUGGGCGUAAAGGGCGCGUAGGCGGUUUUGUAAGUUAUGUGUGAAAUCUCUGGGCUUAACCUGGGAACUGCACAUAAUACUGUAAAGCUAGAGUAGAGUAGAGGAAAGUGGAAUUUCCGGUGUAGCGGUGAAAUGCGUAGAUAUCGGAAGGAACACCAGUGGCGAAGGCGGCUUUCUGGACUCAUACUGACGCUGAGGCGCGAAAAGCGUGGGGGAGCAAACAGG
rnacentral:rRNA from 1 species